rnacentral:rRNA from 1 species
CGAUGCGGAGCGAAAUUUAGUAGCGAAGUAGCUGAUUUCACACUGUCGAGAAAAGUCUCUAUCGAGGUUAAAGGUGCCUGUACCGCAAACCGACACAGGUGGGUGAGGAGAGUAUCCUAAGGCCAGCGAGAGAACUGUUGUUAAGGAACUCGGCAAAAUGACCCCGUAACUUAGGGAGAAGGGGUGCCUUCGAAAGAAGGCCGCAGAGAAUAGGCCCAAGCGACUGUUUACCAAAAACAUAGGUUUCUGCUAAGUCGCAAGACGAUGUAUAGGAGCUGACGCCUGCCCGGUGCUGGAAGGUUAAGGGGAUCUGUUAGAGCAAUCGAAGCAGUGAACUUAAGCCCCAGUAAACGGCGGCCGUAACAAUAACGGUCCUAAGGUAGCGAAAUUCCUUGUCGGGUAAGUUCCGACCCGCACGAAAGGCGUAACGAUUUGGGCACUGUCUCAACAACAGACUCGGUGAAAUUGUAAUACCGGUGAAGAUGCCGGUUACCUGCGACAGGACGGAAAGACCCCAUGGAGCUUUACUGUAGCUUGACAUUGAGUCUCGGUGCUACAUGUACAGGAUAGGUGGGAGACUAUGAAGCAUGGACGUCAGUCUGUGUGGAGUCAUCCUUGGGAUACCACCCUUGUAGUACUGGGAUUCUAACCAGAGGCCAUGAAUCUGGUCUUGGGACACUGUCAGGUGGACAGUUUGACUGGGGCGGUCGCCUCCCAAAAAGUAACGGAGGCGCUCAAAGGUUCUCUCAGUACGGUCGGAAAUCGUACGAAGAGUGUAAAGGCAAAAGAGAGCUUGAUUGCAAGACAUACAGGUCGAGCAAGGACGAAAGUCGGACUUAGUGAUCCGGUGGUUCCGCAUGGAAGGGCCAUCGCUCAACGGAUAAAAGCUACCCUGGGGAUAACAGGCUGAUCUCCCCCAAGAGUCCACAUCGACGGGGAGGUUUGGCACCUCGAUGUCGGCUCAUCACAUACUGGGGCUGUAGUAGGUCCCAAGGGUUGGGCUGUUCGCCCAUUAAAGUGGUACGCGAGCUGGGUUCAGAACGUCGUGAGACAGUUCGGUCCCUAUCCGUCGCAGGCGUAGGAAAUUUGAGGAGACCUGUCCUUAGUACGAGAGGACCGGGAUGAACGUACCGCUGAUGUACCAGUUGUUCUGCCAAGGGCAUGGCUGGGUAGCUAAGUACGGAAAGGAUAAGCGCUGAAAGCAUCUAAGCGCGAAGCC